GAUGGCAAGCAUGUUUGGCACUUACUAAAAAAAUGUAUGAAAAUGAAGACACUUGCAUUUGUACCCACAAGCAGCAUUGCAACGAGCUGUGAGUUCUUGCGGCUGGCUCCUACGAUUGUCACUGCAAGUCAUGCUCUUCAUUGCGUGAAGCAGCCGAGCACAAGUGCACAAAAAGAAUAAAGGUGCGGAGAUGAAGAGCUCACUUUUCCUAAUCCGUGGAGUUCAUUUCUCCUAAUUCGUGAGUUUCAUGUGCAUAAAUGUAGCUACACUGGGGG